rnacentral:tRNA from 1 species
UCUAUUUUGGCAGAUUAGUGCAAUAGAUUUAGAAUCUGUGGAUGUAAAGAUUGUUUUACAAAUAGAA